rnacentral:rRNA from 1 species
CGUGUAGGCGGUUUGAUCAGUCUGAUGUGAAAGCCCCGGGCUCAACCUGGGAAGUGCAUUGGAUACUGUCAGACUUGAAUACGGGAGAGGGCAGUGGAAUUCCUGGUGUAGGAGUGAAAUCCGUAGAUAUCAGGAGGAACACCGGUGGCGAAGGCGGCUGCCUGGACCGAUAUUGACGCUGAGACGCGAAAGCGUGGGUAGCAAACA